AGUAACCUCACAGCACCAGACUGUUGUCUGUGAAGCCUAGUAACCUCAGAGCACCAGACUGUUGUCUGUGAAGCCUAGUAACCUCCCAGCACCAGACUACACACAGACAGAACUGGGCAUCAUAGCAUCAGAAGAGGAAGACCUGACAUUUUCAGCCACUAACACAGAAGGACCAUUGUUACACUUUCCUUUUUUAAAUCCAUGUUAGUUGUUGUGGCAGAGAAUCACUCAGGACCACAAAGGUUCUGAGCUGCCCCUCCCUGUGCCUGAGUAGAAAGGGCCCCCUGUCUGUCUCGGCUGUAAUACCAGUCCAGGGGAGGGUACUAGGUAGAAAGGGUCCCCUGUCUGUCUCAGCUGUAAUACCAGUCCAGGGGAGGGUACUAGGUAGAAAGGGCCCCCUGUCUGUCUCAGCUGUAAUACCAGUCCAGGGGAGGGUACUAGGUAGAAAGGGCCCCCUGUCUGUCUCAGUUAUAAUACAAGUCCAGGGGAGGGUACUACUUAGAAAGGGCCCCCUGUCUGUCUCAGCUGUAAUACCAGUCCAGGGGAGGGUACUAGGUAGAAAGGGCCCCCUGUCUGUCUCAGCUGUAAUACCAGUCCAGGGGAGGGUACUAGGUAGAAAGGGCCCCCUGUCUGUCUCAGUUAUAAUACCAGUCCAGGGGAGGGUACUAGGUAGUUACAGACAGACAAGUUGUAAGUUGUGUAGUCCAGGACAGGUCAGUUACAGACAGACAGGUUGUGUAGUCUAGGACAGGUCAGUUACACUAGGAGAUAGAUGGUUACAGACAGACAGGCUGUGUAGUCUAGGACAGGUCAGUUCCACUAGGAGAUAGGUGGUUACAGACAGACAGGUUGUGUAGUCUAGGACAGGUCAGUUACAGACAGACAGGUUGUGUAGUCUAGGACAGGUCAGUUACACUAGGAGAUAGAUGGUUACAGACAGACAGGCUGUGUAGUCUAGGACAGGUCAGUUCCACUAGGAGAUAGGUGGUUACAGACAGACAGGUUGUGUAGUCUAGGACAGGUCAGUUACAGACAGACAGGUUGUGUAGUCUAGGACAGGUCAGUUACACUAGGAGAUAGAUGGUUAUAGACAGACAGGUGGUGUAGUCUAGGACAGGUCAGUUCCACUAGGAGAUAGAUGGUUACAGACAGACAGGUCAGUUCCACUAGGAGAUAGAUGGUGACAGACAGGUCAGUUCCACUAGGAGAUAGAUGGUUACAGACAGACAGGUCAGUUCCACUAGGAGAUAGGUGGUUACAGACAGACAGGUUGUGUAGUCUAGGACAGGUCAGUUCCACUAGGAGAUAGGUGGUUACAGACAGACAGGUUGUGUAGUCUAGGACAGGUCAGUUACAGACAGACAGGUUGUGUAGUCUAGGACAGGUCAGUUCCACUAGGAGAUAGGUGGUUGCAGACAGACAGGUUUUGUAGUCUAGGACAGGUCAGUUACAGACAGACAGGUUGUGUAGUCUAGGACAGGUCAGUUCCACUAGGAGAUAGAUGGUUAUAGACAGACAGGCUGUGUAGUCUAGGACAGGUCAGUUCCACUAGGAGAUAGAUGGUGACAGACAGACAGGUCAGUUCCACUAGGAGAUAGAUGGUUACAGACAGACAGGUCAGUUCCACUAGGAGAUAGAUGGUGACAGACAGACAGGUCAGUUCCACUAGGAGAUAGAUGGUUACAGACAGACAGGUCAGUUCCACUAGGAGAUAGGUGGUUACAGACAGACAGGUUGUGUAGUCUAGGACAGGUCAGUUACAGACAGACAGGUUGUGUAGUCUAGGACAGGUCAGUUCCACUAGGAGAUAGAUGGUUACAGACAGACAGGUCAGUUCCACUAGGAGAUAGAUGGUUACAGACAGACAGGUCAGUUCCACUAGGAGAUAGAUGGUUACAGACAGACAGGUCAGUUCCACUAGGAGAUAGAUGGUUACAGACAGACAGUGUAGUAGCAAUAUAAAGAUGAUUAUAAAAUGUGAGAUUAAAGACCUGACGUUCAUACUAAUAUUCAGCCAGUUAACCACAGUCCUGGAGUCAGAUGUUAACUCCUGUCUCUAAAUAGUGGAGGUUAGGGCCCCGUUAACCACAGUCCUGGAGUCAGAGGUUAACUAAAGGACUCCAGCCGGGGGGCCUAAAGGACUCCAGCCGGGUGGGG
ensembl:lncRNA